rnacentral:ncRNA from 1 species
GUUGCAAUGGUAAUCCUGCUCAGUAAGAGAGGGACCGCAGGUUCAGACAUUUGGCUCAUCUGCUUGGCUGAGGAGCCAAUGGUGCGAAGCAACCAUUUGUGGGAUUAUGACUGAAUGCCUCUUAAAUCAGAAUCCUGCCUAAACGCUAC